rnacentral:tRNA from 3 species
UGCCUCAUUGGGUAAUUGGUAGCCCCCCGAAUUUUGGUUUCGGAUUGUCUAGGUUCGAGUCCUAGUGAGGCAGC